UACAGAGGUCUCAAGUGUUGUUCGGAUUCAUUGGGCGUAAAGGGUGUGUAGGUGGCGCGCUAAGUCGGGUGUGAAAUUUCGGAGCUUAACUCCGAAACUGCAUUCGAUACUGGCGUGCUUGAGGACUGGAGAGGAGACUGGAAUUUACGGUGUAGCAGUGAAAUGCGUAGAGAUCGUAAGGAAGACCAGUGGCGAAGGCGGGUCUCUGGACAGUUCCUGACACUGAGGCACGAAGGCCAGGGGAGCAAACGGG
rnacentral:rRNA from 1 species